CGUGUAGGUGGUUCUGUAUGUCUAUCGUGAAAGCGUACGGCUCAACCGUAUUUAGUCGGUAGAAACUGCAGGACUUGAGGCUGGGAGGGGCUGGUGGAAUUCCCUGUGUAGCGGUGAAAUGCGUAGAGAUGGGGGAGAACACUCGUGGCGAAGGCGGCCAGCUAAACCAGUUCUGACACUGAGGCGCGACAGCGUGGGGAGCAAACA
rnacentral:rRNA from 1 species